UUGUGGUUGAUGCUGCUAGGUGGCUAAUGCUAGUGUGGUCACAGGUAAAUGCUGGCGGCUGCCUGGAGUCCUUUCUCCCUCCCUCCUCUCAUGAGUGUGUGAGUGUCUGUGCUACUAAAAAGGUAUGUAGCCUAUACGUUAAUGCAUAACCUCAUCAUUUUAACUUAGCCAAUGCUAAUGAUGGUUUUCCUUAAUUAGGUGUUACUGUAGCCACCUCCCUGGGCCGCUGCUGCUUUGAGCUUGUUUACUACGUUCAUCUCGUUCAUAUUUGCUGCUGCUGCAUGCCGUACGGUGUUGUCCUGCGGUCAUCGGAAGUGUCGGCUUGUACAGGACAGUUGGUCGGCCGCACGCUGCUGGGCCAGACUAUCUGUUUUACUGGGGACUGGUGCCCCUUAUGUGAAUGAGUGUAUCAAUGUGUGGAUCCUGUUUCAUUAUUUUUGAGUGUGUGUUUGAGUUAAUUUUGGAUUCUGUUUAUGUAAAUCUAUUUUGUAAAUCUCGUUAAUUGAAUUUGGUAACUGAGUUUUGUUUUCUUUCUUUUUUUUUGGUUAUAUCAGCAGUUAAGUGAUAUAUUGUGAUUUUAGGGAAGGGGUCUGUCUGUUAUGGUUUUGUUAGGUUUUCUUUCAUUUUGUGUGUGUGUGUGUGUGUGUGUGACCCCACUAAUUUGUUGUUUCCUCCCUUUUCAGUUGCUGUAGGCCGGUGGUGGCGUUGCUGGUGACCUGGUGGUGGCAUCCUCUCUUGUCUUGCUGUGUCCCUUGGAGUGGGUUUUUCUUCACUGAGAGUGUGUCUGCCACGUGUGCCCGGUGACUUAAGUUUGUUUCUUUAUUUUGGUGGAUUCCUCCCCUGCACUAGCCUUCGUCCAUCCACUUCGGCCUCAGCCCUGAUUAGUUGCUGUAGGCCGGUGGUGGCGUUGCUGGUGACCUGGUGGUGGCAUCCUCCCUUGUCUUGCUGUGUCCCUUGGAGUGGGUUUUUCUUCACUGAGAGUGUGUCUGCCACGUGUGCCCGGUGACUUAAGUUUGUUUCUUUAUUUUGGUGGAUUCCUCCCCUGCACUAGCCUUCGUCCAUCCACUUCGGCCUCAGCCCUGAUUAGGUUUGUCUUUUGUGUGAAUGAGUUAAUUGAUUUUUAAGAAUAUAUUAAAAUAAAAUGCAUUUUAAAACUUUGAACCACGUCUCUCGCCUUUAAGUAACUACGAACCUGUGUGCCUUGCGUAAGAAAAUAAUUCUCUGGGUGAAAUUCCCAGGGUGGCGUUGUUGAGCUUUUAGUAUUUUUCCUUUCUUUUCACCUCCUCCUUGCCACACUUGCCUGUGUCUAACUGCGAGGGUGAGAGGUCAUUUUCUGUUUUGAAACUAGUUAAAAAUGAGCUGAGGACCACAAUGUCACAGACACGGCUCUCUGCACU
rnacentral:lncRNA from 1 species